GACGUAGGGCGCGAGCGUUGUCCGGAUUUAUUGGGCGUAAAGAGCUCGUAGGCGGUUUGUCGCGUCGGCCGUGAAAACUAGAGGCUUAACCUCCAGCUUGCGGUCGAUACGGGCAGACUUGAGUUCGGUAGGGGAGACUGGAAUUCCUGGUGUAGCGGUGAAAUGCGCAGAUAUCAGGAGGAACACCGGUGGCGAAGGCGGGUCUCUGGGCAGUAACUGACGCUGAGGAGCGAAAGCGUGGGGAGCGAACAGG
rnacentral:rRNA from 1 species